GACAGAGGGAGCUAGCGUUGUUCGGAAUUACUGGGCGUAAAGGGUGCGUAGGCGGUUUUUUAAGUGAGGUGUUAAAUCCCCAGGCUUAACCUGGGAAUCGCAUUUCAAACUGAAAAGCUAGAGUGUGAGAGAGGAAAGUGGAAUUCCUAGUGUAGAGGUGAAAUUCGUAGAUAUUAGGAGGAACUCCAAAGGCGAAGGCAGCUUUCUGGCUCACUACUGACGCUGAGGCACGAAAGCGUGGGGAGCAAACAGG
rnacentral:rRNA from 1 species